UUAUGUUUUGUGUGCUGUUAAGUAAGUUCUUAGCCUGAGAGGCCUCCAGCUCUUGGCAGUUAGGAUCGCCUUAAGCCGGCUGGCAUUUCUAGGCCAGUCGCAGGCCUUCGCACGGUUCACAAGAUGAAGAUGAUGGAGGAUUGCGAGUUGGGUGCGGGCGCGACCUAAUUAUACUCCUCGGGUUGUUGGGCCGAACUGCGGAAAAACCCCGGCUCGCGGGCUCUGCCUCUGAUGAAGCCUGUGUUGGUAGGGACAUCUGAGACUGUUGAUGAAUGCCAACGGCUCUGAUGGCGGCGCGUGCCGAGUCACCGAGUGGGUCUUUGUUAAAGACCUCGGCUCGAGUCUCCUUAAGCCACUUGUUCUUAGGAAGGCCACGUGGUUCUCUAAAGGCUGCAUUCCGCACUGCACCAUUAUUUCCGUCAGUGGUUCUUAAUCUUAAUUAUGUUGAAUGCUCUCAUGCAGUUGUGGGUGGUGUAAACGACUUGCUUACGUGGUAUGGAAACGACGCAAGGUUUAAACUUACUUACGUUUAGAACAAAAUGAAUUUUUUAAAUCUCUAAUUUUUCCUAGGAACGGUGCCAGGCAUGGGUGCCAGGCAUGAAUGCAGUGUGGCUUUAGAUGGCUUCUGGUGGACAGUUGUGUACCAAAGGGACGAGAACCGCUGCUGGGGUCUUAAAGCACAAGCUUAAUGCUGUAUCCAUGGGCAAACAGGCACUAUGCAGGAAGUUAAGCACUAUGUAGGCACUAAGCUGAAAGUUGAAGGGGUGGACUUGAAUCCUUGACCUGUCCGGGCCAACUUUUUGAUCCUGGGUACACGUUUUUAUCCAUGGAUGGCUUGCUUGGGGUAAGACAUGAAAACAGUUCUUUGGCUCCUGGCAUUUGGGUUUAUAUUCCAAAAAUGUGCUGGUCUUAGUAGUUGUUCACCUAUGUUAGUGUUUUCUGGUGUUGGACCGUUGAGAAAUAAACAGGCCUUAGUAUGAAGCUGUUGUGAAGUGUGUCUAAAGAAAUACUUCUUUGCAGGUGCAAAUUUUGGAGAUCUUUUAUAUAAAGGUAUGUAUGUGUUUUAUCGGUCUUACCUAGUUACUGAGCAAGAUGCUGUUAGUGAUGAUUUUUAAAAAAUUAAACAGAUGGGAAUCUCUCUGAAAAAGAAUGAAGAUUUUUAAAAACUGAAACGGUAUCUGGAAAAUUUUUGAAAUCUACUUAUUAUACCUAUUCAGUUUGAUUAAAUUUCAUUAAAUUUUUGCAGGUGUCAAGAGAGGUACUGGCUACAACGCAGGGAGCAAGAAGUUUUAAGCAAAGGUAUAGAAGUCUCAAGUUUGGGUUCUGUGUUUUGUGGUUUAAAGCCGAUACAAUGAUGAUAACAUAGUUCAGCAGACUAACAGUGAUGAGCAAAUACUGUCUUUCGCUCCUAUCUGAUGUAUCUGGCUGCAACAAUUCUGUUUAUAUACCCUUGAAAGUGGAAACCAGCCGCUGUCUCACAGAAAUAUUCAGGGAUUUGGAUAAGUGUAACGGCUCAUGCAGAUGUUCUGUACUGUUAAUUUCAGGAUUAGGCAUUUACAUUUUGGAUAAGAACAGGCUAACGUGAGGAAAUUUUUAUGGCAUAUACUGUAGAUUACACCAGAAUGAAUAAUUUAGCUGAUUAUUUUUGAUAGUCAUUUCUCAGAGCAGUUUUAGAUUCAUAGCAAAAUUGAACAGUAGGUUCCCAUAUAGCAUCCUCCCCAUCAACAUCUACCACCAGAGUGGGACUUAAAAUUUUGAACCUAUGUUGACACAUCACCCAGAGUCCAGUAGUACAUUGCGGUUCACUCAUGGUGUUGUACGUUCUCUGGGUUUGGACAAAUGUAUCGUGACAAAGAUCCACCUUGCACAGAAUAGGUUCACUGCCCUAGAAUUUUUUGAAAAAUUUAAAAGUGGGCUACAAAAAAUGGGAGAAAGGGCAAAUUUUAAACAUAAGGCUUUUAUUUUUCAUUUUCAAACAGGCAAAUGUGUUACCCUGAAGAUUUCAAGGUCAGUCAGUCUCUGGUAUAUAUGGUGAGUUAGAAUGUAACCAGUGAUGUGAUGAUUCUGCCAAAUGAAUAAAAUGAUAUCACCCGUAAAACCGUUCCAUUUUGAUUCUGAGGUUACUUUAUCAAUAAAUAUCACAAGUUUUUUCCCUUCUACUGUGAUUUGACAUAUAUGGUCUUUACUUUUCAGGGCAUUUAUGACAGCAGUCAUGCAUCUUAACAGUUGACAGGCAGCUGGAUGGAUGCUCAUGGGAUAGGAGAGGAAACAACUUUCAAUUUUUUUUAAAGCCUAUUUUAUUUAUUGGCCAUGCUGCACAGCAUGUAGGAUCUUAGUUCCCCCACCAGGGAUUGAACCUGUGCCCUCUGCAGUGGAAGCGCAGAGCCCUAACCACUGGACCAGCAGGGAAUUCUCCAACUUUGAAUUUUAAUAAAUAUUUAUGAACCA